UACGUAGGGGGCAAGCGUUGUCCGGAUUUAUUGGGCGUAAAGCGCGUGUAGGCGGCUGGGUAGGUCCGCUGUGAAACUCGAGGCUCAACCUCGAGACGUCGGCGGAAACCAUCCAGCUAGAGUCCGGAAGAGGAGAGUGGAAUUCCUGGUGUAGCGGUGAAAUGCGCAGAUAUCAGGAAGAACACCCGUGGCGAAAGCGGCUCUCUGGGACGGUACUGACGCUGAGACGCGAAAGCGUGGGGAGCGAACAGG
rnacentral:rRNA from 1 species